GAUGAAGAACGUAGCGAAAUGCGAUAAGUAAUGUGAAUUGCAGAAUUCAGUGAAUCAUCGAAUCUUUGAACGCACAUUGCGCCCGGUAGUAUUCUGCCGGGCAUGCCUGUUCGAGCGUCAUUUCAACCAUCAAGCCCCAGCGCUUGUGUUGGGGGCCUGCGGCUGCCGCAGCCCCCUAAAAGCAGUGGCGGGCUCGCUAUCACACCGAGUGCAGUAGUUCAUCUUCUCUCCGGUCUGGUGAGGCGGGUUCCGGCCGUGAAACACCCCACUACAUUUCAAGGUUGACCUCGGAUCAGGUAGGAAUACCCGCUGAACUUAAGCAUAUCAAUAAGCGGAGGA
rnacentral:misc_RNA from 1 species